rnacentral:rRNA from 1 species
UACGAAGGGUGCAAGCGUUACUCGGAAUUACUGGGCGUAAAGGGCUCGUAGGCGGCCAACUAAGUCGGAUGUGAAAUCCCCAGGCUUAACCUGGGAACUGCAUCCGAUACUGGAUGGCUUGAAUCCGGGAGAGGGAUGCAGAAUUCCAGGUGUAGCGGUGAAAUGCGUAGAUAUCAAGCGGAACACCAGUGGCGAAGGCGGCUCACUGGCCCAUAACUGACGCUGAGGCACGAAAGCGUGGGGAGCAAACAGG